UUGAACCAGCCAUGCCGCGAGCAGGAAAGACGGCCUUCUGGGUUGUUAACUGCUUUUAUCAGGGAAGAAAAUGUCCUUGCGAGGAUAAUUGCCGGUACCAGAAGAAUAAGCACCGGCUAACUCCGUGCCAGCAGCCGCGGUAAUACGGAGGGUGCAAGCGUUGUCCGGAUUUAUUGGGUUUAAAGGGUGGGUAGGCGGCCUAUAAAGUCAGUGGUGAAAGGUAUCAGCUUAACUGAUGAAAUGCCAUUGAAACUUAUAGGCUUGAGUACAGACGAGGUAGGCGGAAUUUAUGGUUAGCGGUGAAAUGCAUAGAUACCAUAAAGAACACCGAUAGCGAAGGCAGCUUACUAGACUGUAACUGACGCUGAGGCACGAAAGCGUGGGGAGCGAACAGGAUUAGAUACCCUGGUAGUCCACGCCGUA
rnacentral:rRNA from 1 species